rnacentral:rRNA from 1 species
ACGGGGGGGGCAAGCGUUGUUCGGAAUUACUGGGCGUAAAGGGCGCGUAGGCGGGUGGACAAGUCUCUCGUGAAAGCCCACGGCUCAACCGUGGAAUUGCGGGAGAUACUGUCUGUCUUGAGUCCGGGAGAGGAGGGUGGAAUUCCCAGUGUAGCGGUGAAAUGCGUAGAUAUUGGGAGGAACACCAGUGGCGAAGGCGGCUCACUGGACUGGUACUGACGCUGAGGCGCGAAAGCGUGGGGAGCAAACAGGA